UACGGGGGGGGCAAGUGUUGUUCGGAAUUACUGGGCGUAAAGGGCGCGUAGGCGGUUUGCUAAGUUGAAUGUGAAAACUCUGGGCUUAACCCAGAGCCUGCAUUCAAUACUGGCAGGCUGGAGUUCUGGAGGGGAUAGCGGAAUUCCUGGUGUAGCGGUGAAAUGCGCAGAUAUCAGGAGGAACACCGGUGGCGAAGGCGGGUCUCUGGGCCGAUACUGACGCUGAGGAGCGAAAGCGUGGGGAGCGAACAGG
rnacentral:rRNA from 1 species